rnacentral:rRNA from 1 species
AUACCGCUGGUGUACCAGUUGUUCCGCCAGGAGCAUCGCUGGGUAGCUACGUAUGGACGGGAUAAGUGCUGAAAGCAUCUAAGCAUGAAGCCCCCCUCAAGAUGAGAUUUCCCAUGGCGUAAGCCAGUAAGACCCCUUAGAGAUGAUGAGGUUGAUAGGUCAGAAGUGGAAGCGUGGCGACACGUGGAGCGGACUGAUACUAAUCGGUCGAGGACUUAUCCUAU